CCUACGGGAGGCAGCAGUGAGGAAUAUUGGACAAUGGGCGCAAGCCUGAUCCAGCCAUGCCGCGUGCAGGAAGACGGUCCUAUGGAUUGUAAACUGCUUUUGUACGGGAAGAAACACUCCUACGUGUAGGAGCUUGACGGUACCGUAAGAAUAAGGAUCGGCUAACUCCGUGCCAGCAGCCGCGGUAAUACGGAGGAUCCAAGCGUUAUCCGGAAUCAUUGGGUUUAAAGGGUCCGUAGGCGGUUUAGUAAGUCAGUGGUGAAAGCCCAUCGCUCAACGAUGGAACGGCCAUUGAUACUGCUAGACUUGAAUUACUAGGAAGUAACUAGAAUAUGUAGUGUAGCGGUGAAAUGCUUAGAUAUUACAUGGAAUACCAAUUGCGAAGGCAGGUUACUACUAGUGGAUUUACGCUGAUGGACGAAAGCGUGGGGAGCGAACAGGAUUAGAUACCCUGGUAGUCCACGCCGUAAACGAUGGAUACUAGCUGUUCGGGGCAACCUGAGUGNGUAGAGAAGUAGAUAGUAGUACCACCGNGGUAGGUACGUUCGCGAGAAGUAGUAACGUUACGAAGUAAGUUAGUUACGGACGUUGAGAGNGCGACGGACGACGACGAGGGAGGAGG
rnacentral:rRNA from 1 species